GGUGUGUGCCACGACACUGCUAAAUCGCAGCAGUCAUCAUGUUUGGUCCUCAACUUCACACUUUCCAAGAGGUCCAAUUUGCAAUGUGCCCAUGUGUGUAUCAACAUCACUGGAUUAUUAUGAUACUGAAGAAAAUUUAAGAACAUCAUGAUUCUCAGGCAAGUUCUGGAAUUGUAAGUGUACUCUUUGUCUGAGACAGAGACCGGGUGAAAAUAAGGCCUUGAAAAAGAGGAGAGAAGACACAAUGCAUGUAACAGCUGUAAUUUGACAUGGUGUCCCAGAACAUCAACAACAGGCGCACCCAUGAUACCUAGCGCCUCAUAUGUAGACGUCAAAAGUCCACUGAACAAGCAGAUAUGUGACGAGUUGGGAGUAGGAAUAUGUUAGCUGCCUGCAGUAUGAACGUAGCUUCAGAUUCUCAGAUGGCACACAAUAUGGCAGUAGCCUCCUUAAAGAUACACUUG